rnacentral:rRNA from 1 species
AGUGAACGCUGGCGGUAUGCCUAAUACAUGCAAGUCGAACGGCAGCACAGUAAGAUCUUGCCCUUACGGGUGGCGAGUGGCGGACGGGUGAGGAAUACAUCGGCAUCUACUUUUUCGUGGGGGAUAACGUAGGGAAACUUACGCUACUACCUCAUACGACCUACGGGUUAAAGCAGGGGAUCUUCGGACCUUGCGCGACUGAAUUAGCCGAUGUCGGAUUAGCUAGUUGGCGGGGUAAAGGCCCACCAAGGCAACGAUCCGUAGCUGGUCUGAGAGGAUGAUCAGCCACACUGGAACUGAGACACGGUCCAGACUCCUACGGGAGGCAGCAGUGGGGAAUAUUCGACAAUGGGCGAAAGCCUGACGCAGCCAUACCGCGUGGGUGAAGAAGGCCUUCGGGUUGUAAAGCCCUUUUGUUGGGAAAGAAAAGCAGCAGGUUAAUCCAUCGCUGUUCUGACGGUACCCAAAGAAUAAGCAACGGCUAACUUCGUG